rnacentral:rRNA from 1 species
AUUCCAGCUCCAGUAGCGUAUAUUAAAGUUGUUGCAGUUAAAAAGCUCGUAGUUGGAUUUCUGGCAAGGCAGAGCUAACCUGGUACUAUGUAUCGUGUGUUGGACUCGGUCUGCCAUCCUUCCAGAAAAGCAUCAUACCCUUCAUUGGGCCGUGGUGAUAGAUCUGGAACUUUUACUUUGAAAAAAUUAGAGUGUUCAAAGCAGGCGUUACGCUAUGAAUACAUUAGCAUGGAAUAAUAAUUUAGGACUUCAGUUCUAUUUUGUUGGUUUCUAGGACCGAAGUAAUGAUUGAUAGGGAUAGUUGGGGGUGCUAGUAUUCAGCGGCCAGAGGUGAAAUUCUUGGAUUCGCUGAAGACUAACUUAUGCGAAAGCAUUCACCAAGGAUGUCUUCAUCA